UACGUAGGUGGCGAGCGUUGUCCGGAUUUACUGGGCGUAAAGGGAGCGUAGGCGGACUUUUAAGUGAGAUGUGAAAUACUCGGGCUCAACUUGAGUGCUGCAUUUCAAACUGGAAGUCUAGAGUGCAGGAGAGGAGAAUGGAAUUCCUAGUGUAGCGGUGAAAUGCGUAGAGAUUAGGAAGAACACCAGUGGCGAAGGCGAUUCUCUGGACUGUAACUGACGCUGAGGCUCGAAAGCGUGGGGAGCAGACAGG
rnacentral:rRNA from 1 species